UACGUAGGGGGCUAGCGUUGUCCGGAAUCAUUGGGCGUAAAGCGCGCGUAGGCGGUCAGGUAAGUCCGGUGUGAAAGUCAAAGGCUCAACCUUUGAAUGCCGCUGGAUACUACUUGACUUGAGUCCGGAAGGGGCGAGUGGAAUUCCUGGUGUAGCGGUGAAAUGCGCAGAUAUCAGGAGGAACACCAAUGGCGAAGGCAGCUCGCUGGAACGGUACUGACGCUGAGGCGCGAAAGCGUGGGGAGCGAACAGG
rnacentral:rRNA from 1 species